rnacentral:rRNA from 1 species
GUAGGUGGCAAGCGUUGUCCGGAAUUAUUGGGCGUAAAGCGCGCGCAGGGCGGUCCUUUAAGUCUGAUGUGAAAGCCCACGGCCCAACCGUGGAGGGUCAUUGGAAACUGGGGGACUUGAGUACAGAAGAGGAAAGCGGAAUUCCAAGUGUAGCGGUGAAAUGCGUAGAGAUUUGGAGGAACACCAGUGGCGAAGGCGGCUUUCUGGUCUGUAACUGACGCUGAGGCGCGAAAGCGUGGGGAGCAAACAGGAUUAGAUACCCGGGUAGUCCACGCCGUAAACGAUGAGUGCUAAGUGUUAGGGGGGUUUCCGCCCCUUAGUGCUGCAGCUAACGCAUUAAGCACUCCGCCUGGGGAGUACGGCCGCAAAGGCUGA